AUGUCGAUGGAUUUUGUAACUUCUCUCCACAAUAAACGACGCCACGAAGAGGAGCAUGGAAACUGGGAAUGUCAACCGAAAAGGCUGUGCAGUGGAGUAGUUGGUUGUGGCCACCUUGAAUAUGGCGCGGUCCGCGAAUGUCCCAUGGAUACAUGGGAGAUCCAGCAGCUAGUCGUACCGAAUGGGAACAGAGGAAACGAAGUCGUUCCUAACAUGAGUACUCCACCAGGCAGAGCAUCUGCGCAGUGUUGCCCAAGAUGUAUGGCUGGAGAGUCGGUAAGUGACAUUAACACUUAUUUUAUUAAAGUCACAAAAUGUGAUUAUUAUUUGCAUAAUGCAGUCCACGUCAACUUAUCAAAAUAAGUAAUACAAAUAUAAAAACAGCAUACAUUUAGUUCACACAACCUAUUAUUGACUUAUAUUAUCUUGUAGGUUUUUGGAAAUAUUUCACCUUCUUGAAAAAUCAAUAUGUAUCUAUAGUGAUAUAAAAUGCACAGUUAGAACAGUCUGCCCCUAGGCCAAGUUAUCUUCCAGCUGAUCUCACUGCCUGAUACUUUAUUUACACCUUGGGAGAAGGCAGUGUAUAUGAAUUUCAAUUAUCUAUCCAAUGAACAUACCAUGUAGAAUGAAAAUGACUCUCUCUUUUUUUUUUUUGAGGUUACCUGUGUCACAUCAAUGCUUUUCUGCUGUCUUCCACUCAUUCAGGGACACAUUAACCACAUCAUGGGAUAUUGAUUAUGAAGAUCUUCAACAAAACCGCCUUCGCUAUAAGUGAGAGGAUGGGCGACCAAUCCUGAUUUUGUAGAUGCCAGUUUGUCCUCCUGCCCUAUGCAAGCAAUGCAUAUCAUGAGUGCCUUGCACAUUUUUUUAAUCUCUGCCAAGUACUGUACUCCAACACUGUUUACAUUUCCAAGUAUUUGUAAUGGCUAAAGGGCUAGUCAUUGGAUAACUAAUUUCUCACAUUGUAGAUGAACGAGGUAAAUGUAGUACUACAGUGUAGUUGAUGAAGAAUCCGUCAUCAGGACAAAGCCAUGACAGUGUUUCUAUAUUCACAAAGGGAAUCUGUAAUCCAGGAAGCUGGAGCAAAUACAUAACAAAUGCAGAGACACUUGGAGAUGUAAUACAGUUGCUAUGAUCAAUCAGCAAUGAUUAGGAAUAGAACUCCAUCGUUUGGUAUGCAAAUUAUUGUCCCUUUUACAUAUAGAUAUAUGGUAUAGAAACCUUUUUUUAAAUGUUGAAUAAUUCUGAGUGGUCUGAUUUAAUUAAGAAUGUUAAUCUUGACAUAAAGAAAACUGCUACAAUAAUUAAAAGCAUUUCAAUGAUUUAAUUGAAAUGGUUUAAUUAUUUAUGGGAUUUUUAUAGACAGUGUAUCUCAUAGAUACUAAUUAAUUUAUGGAUAUAACAUGACCCUUUUAUAUUGUCCAAAUCGUUUCCAAACAUCACUGUGGAACAUUGUUGUGUCAAAUUAAAGAUGUAGAAAAAUCUGCAUUCAAAAUGUAGAAUUGUCCAUGUAGCUUCAACUUUUUCUUCCCUGUGAUCUUUGUAUAAACCAUGGGUUUAAACAAUAGCAAUGUGUUUUGUCAUCAGUAUGGUGGGGUUUCAGUGUAGUUGUCCAUAUGUGCUGGUUAUGAGUCCAUAUUGCAUCACCAAAUCACAGAGCUGCUGUUUUCCAUCCUCUGCACAUUGCACACAAGAUGGUGCUGUGCGGUAUCUUUUGUCAUCCCUGACUCACUGGUUUUCAUGCCGAAUGUCUCCAUGAAUCAUACAGGAACUUGCUCUUGCGUCUUGCUCUUGUACUAAUUUGUGUAUUGAUUCAUUUUUGUCAAAAACCAAAUAGUAUUCCCGUAUAGGAAUAGUAUCCGCUUAUAAAGAUAUUUUUAGAGAGGCAUUGAAAACCAUUUUUGUACAUAACGAGGGAAGAAUCAUUGUCCUUUCGCUCUAUACUAUUUCAUGGCAUUUUUUCUUUAAAAUGCCUGUGCAAAGACAUUGUUUCCCUAAUUACUUUGUGGCUACACAUUGACUAGUCCAAAAACAAAUUUAAUUUCAUCCAGGAAAAAAGAAUUGACACCUUUAUUACUUGUUCCUUUGCCAUGUGAUUUUCUUUUAUUGAUCCUAAAACCAUGGUGGUAUUCAUACAGAGGUUUGUCACAUGUGCCAAUGUCUUGGUAUUCAUAAGUCAUUGUUUCUGCUCUUGUAAGUUCUAAAGGAAUUACUUCAGCUCAAAAGAAGCCAUCAGGAAAGGCUGAAGUUUGUCGUAAGUCAGCCAAGAUGGAUUUAAGUGUAUUACCAGCACAAUCUCCGCUGUCCUUCCCCGGUGCAGCCUGGUGUACAAGGAGAAAUGAGAGUAUGUUCUCAGACAAAGCUUGACCUCAGGGACGUGGCUCUGAGGGCCUAGAUUUUCAAUAAUGUAAGACAAUAAAGCUUAGGCUCGUAACCUGCUGCA
rnacentral:lncRNA from 1 species